GAUGAACGCUGGCGGCGUGCCUAAUACAUGCAAGUCGAGCGAACAGACGAGGAGCUUGCUCCUCUGACGUUAGCGGCGGACGGGUGAGUAACACGUGGAUAACCUGCCUAUAAGACUGGGAUAACUUCGGGAAACCGGAGCUAAUACCGGAUAAUAUAUUGAACCGCAUGGUUCAAUAGUGAAAGACGGUUUUGCUGUCACUUAUAGAUGGAUCCGCGCCGCAUUAGCUAGUUGGUAAGGUAACGGCUUACCAAGGCAACGAUGCGUAGCCGACCUGAGAGGGUGAUCGGCCACACUGGAACUGAGACACGGUCCAGACUCCUACGGGAGGCAGCAGUAGGGAAUCUUCCGCAAUGGGCGAAAGCCUGACGGAGCAACGCCGCGUGAGUGAUGAAGGUCUUCGGAUCGUAAAACUCUGUUAUUAGGGAAGAACAAAUGUGUAAGUAACUAUGCACGUCUUGACGGUACCUAAUCAGAAAGCCACGACUAACUACGUG
rnacentral:rRNA from 1 species